UACUUUUAAAUAAUAUAUGUAGGGUAGGCACAGCAUCCACAUUAUAGGGAUCCAAAUAUUGACCUUCACCCUCGAUUUCGUGCUGAAAUUAAAAUAGCUCUCAAGCAGAUGAAGAGCGGGAAAGUUCCAGGGUUAGAUAAUAUUGCCCUGGAAGUCCUUAAAGUAGAUGCAGAGACCUCGAUAGAUCUGCUGCACCCUAUGUUUGUGAAGAUUUGGAUGGGGGAGAAAAUACCAGCUGACUGGAAGAAAGGAGAUAGCCGGAUGUGAUAUCAAUCUAUGGGAUGUAACAAACCAGCAAUCAGAUAAAAGAAAGGAAUUGGUGCUGGAUUGGACAUACUUUGAGAAAACCAGAGGGAGCUAUAGAGAGGGUGGCAUUAGACUGGAAUCUACAGGGUGCAUGGAGAUGAGGAGGUACAAGAAAACCUGGAAGAAGAUGGUUUAAGAGGAGGCUGCUGAGAUGGGCAAGACCUGGAAGGAAGUGAAGAGAAUGGCCAAUACACAAUCAUACUAGAUGGUGAUGUUUCACAGAUGCCCUAUGCUCAAGUUAGGAGUGAUAGGAAGUAGGAUAGGAAUUCUAUACAGUAUUUCCAAUAAAUUUCACCUGUAUUUAAUUUAUUGGAUAUAUUCUGAGUUUCAUGCUUUUGAUAUUUUUCAAUUUUUAACUUGCAGAGUACAUAUGAUGGAACUUGUAGGCAUGUUUAUGAUCUCUGUAUCAAAUUUCAUAUAGGUGGGUUGUUAAUUACUGCCACAAAUCUGGAAGUUGUACAUUGAUUUCAUAACACUGCCAUCGUGGUUUACAUU